CAUUUUAAUAAACAUGAGCUUGUUCACGUUGACCGUGGACAGGCGGCUGUGCUUGUCUGUGAGAACCUCGUGCCGAUAGCACGUCCCCGUGACGGCGACAACACAUUCGGAUGUCAACUUUUGAUGCUAUUUUCCGCGCCUACGAUGGUGACCACGGGUAAAGGGGAAUCAGGGUUCGAUUCCAGAGAGGGAGCCUGAGAAACAGCUACCACAUGCAAGGAAGCAAAUUACCCACUCCCGACGCAGGGAGGUAGUGA